rnacentral:rRNA from 1 species
UACGGGGGGGGCAAGCGUUGUUCGGAAUUACUGGGCGUAAAGGGCUCGUAGGCGGCCUGCUAAGUCGGACGUGAAAUCCCUCGGCUCAACCGGGGAACUGCGUCCGAUACUGGCGAGGCUUGAAUCCGGGAGAGGGAUGUGGAAUUCCAGGUGUAGCGGUGAAAUGCGUAGAUAUCUGGAGGAACACCGGUGGCGAAGGCGGCAUCCUGGACCGGUAUUGACGCUGAUGCGCGAAAGCCAGGGGAGCAAACGGG